UACGUAGGGUGCGAGCGUUAAUCGGAAUUACUGGGCGUAAAGCGCGCGUAGGUGGCUUGAUAAGCCGGUUGUGAAAGCCCCGGGCUCAACCUGGGAACGGCAUCCGGAACUGUCAGGCUAGAGUGCAGGAGAGGAAGGUAGAAUUCCCGGUGUAGCGGUGAAAUGCGUAGAGAUCGGGAGGAAUACCAGUGGCGAAGGCGGCCUUCUGGACUGACACUGACACUGAGGUGCGAAAGCGUGGGUAGCAAACAGG
rnacentral:rRNA from 1 species